AAAUCUGUGGUCUGUGAUGUAUUUUUGUGUCUGAUUAAUACAUGAGGAAUAUCACAGUAUUCGUCACUACCACUGAGACCACAUUGUU